AGAGCGAACGCUGGCGGCAGGCUUAACACAUGCAAGUCGAGCGGGCGUAGCAAUACGUCAGCGGCAGACGGGUGAGUAACGCGUGGGAACGUACCUUUGGUUCGGAACAACACAGGGAAACUUGUGCUAAUACCGGAUAAGCCCUUACGGGGAAAGAUUUAUCGCCAAAAGAUCGGCCCGCGUCUGAUUAGCUAGUUGGUGAGGUAACGGCUCACCAAGGCGACGAUCAGUAGCUGGUCUGAGAGGAUGAUCAGCCACAUUGGGACUGAGACACGGCCCAAACUCCUACGGGAGGCAGCAGUGGGGAAUAUUGGACAAUGGGCGCAAGCCUGAUCCAGCCAUGCCGCGUGAGUGAUGAAAGGCCCUAGGGUUGUAAAGCUCUUUUGUGCGGGAAGAUAAUGACGGUACCGCAAGGAAUAAGCCCCGGCUAACUUCGUGCCAAGCAGCCGC
rnacentral:rRNA from 1 species